rnacentral:piRNA from 1 species
AAACAAGGAGGAGGCAGCAGAAU